UGCACCAGAACGCAGGAAGUGGCAUCAACAGCAUUUGUUCCAGGGGAACUCGCCUACACACACACACACACACACACACACACACACACACACACACACACACACACAGUUUUUAUGCUUCCAACGCCCUUCCUGGGGCAUAAAUAACCCUAGGGCAACGCCUCGACUCAUAAUGGACCCAUUUACGGUUUUCAAUGUUUCAACGUUCAUUAAGGUUCUUUCCUGUGACCUGCUCCUGUAAUGAUUAGUUGAGCUGACUAGUGUUUGCUUAAUUUAUGGGGACUAACGUGAUUUAUCAUCAUCUUAUCCAUAAAUCUUUACUCACGGGUUUCCUGCCUGGAUCAAAAGUGGAGAAAUGAGUUGAAAAUGGGAGGAAGGAGCCGAAGGUGAAGACUGAGACCGGCAAGCUCCUGGGAGAAUUUUUGAAAUGGCGCCUCACAAGAACCAGAGCAGUGAACGAAUCAGUAACCACUAAAACAUGUUGCAUUCACUGGAAACUGGAAUUUAGAAAGUUACAUCACCUAACAGCUAUAAGAGAUUGUGCUAAGGGAUUCAAAGCCGGUGGGGGUGCCAGUGUACGUGUGGCAGGUGCAGCCUUGUGAUGUCAUGUGGCAGCUCAACUCUACCAGACGGCACAUUUCUCCCAGCUGAAACUU